AUUCUACCUUCGGCAGCACAUAUACUAAAAUUGGAAUGAUACAGAGAUUGCAUGGCCCCUGCAAAAGGAUGACACACAAAUUCGAGAAGCAUUCCAUAUUUUU